CCUACGGGAGGCAGCAGUGGGGAAUAUUGGGCAAUGGGCGCAAGCCUGACCCAGCAACGCCGCGUGAAGGAAGAAGGCUUUCGGGUUGUAAACUUCUUUUGACAGGGAAGAGUAGAAGACGGUACCCCUUGAAUAAGCCACGGCUAACUACGUGCCAGCAGCCGCGGUAAUACGUAGGUGGCAAGCGUUGUCCGGAUUUACUGGGUGUAAAGGGCGUGCAGCCGGAGAGACAAGUCAGAUGUGAAAUCCACGGGCUCAACCCGUGAACUGCAUUUGAAACUGUUUCCCUUGAGUGUCGGAGAGGUAAUCGGAAUUCCUUGUGUAGCGGUGAAAUGCGUAGAUAUAAGGAAGAACACCAGUGGCGAAGGCGGAUUACUGGACGAUAACUGACGGUGAGGCGCGAAAGCGUGGGGAGCAAACAGGAUUAGAUACCCCAGUAGUC
rnacentral:rRNA from 1 species